UGCAUCGAUGAAGAACGCAGCGAAAUGCGAUACGUAGUGUGAAUUGCAGAAUUCCGCGAAUCAUCGAGUCUUUGAACGCAAGUUGCGCCCGAGGCUUGUCCAAGGGCAUUUCCGCUAGAGCGUCACCGCGCCCCCCACCGAUCCACUCUCGCCGCGAGGCGACAAUCGGGUCGAGUGAAAGUGGCCGUCCCGGUUUGCUGAGUGGUGGUCUUCGCGAGAAGGCCGCCAUCCUUGGAAGGGUCGGCUGAAAUGGAUGGAAUUGGGCCGCCGUGGUGACACAGUCCGCGAUCGGGUGAUUUCGUCGCGAGCCUCCUCCGGGAGGGUCGCCUUGAAUUUUUCUAAGUGCGAGUCUGCGUCCCCCAGUUGGCUUUUUGGUUCCCUCAUGCAGGUCGAGCGCGCCCCCCGCGGCGCCGAGUCACGCAUCAGACCUCUAAUCGGAAAAGACUACCCGCUGAGUUUAAGCAUAUCAAUAAGCGGAGGA
rnacentral:rRNA from 1 species